CACCAAUGCACAGGGACAUGCACUCACAAGCAGGACAAGUGCCAACCUGAACCAUCUUUUAGUAUCAUUAACUCUCAUUAGCAUUGGAACUACUGCAACCCCUGCUGCUAUUGUCACCACAGCUGCAUUGGUAGUAGCAAUGGAGAAAUCUUGCUGAGAGGAUCUUCAACUAAUGGCCUACUGACCUGGUCAUCGGUGAUCAAAGAGUUAGUUGAAGAAGCAUGACAAAAGUAUUGUACCAUCUAUGUUUAGUGUGCCAGCCCAAACUGGUGAUUGCGGCUGCUUGACUACAGGGAAGGACUCUCCUGUGAGGCUACUCUCAUCAACUUCACUCUGCCCUUCAACCACAACUCCAUCGAUUGGGAUCACUUCUCCGGCUUUAACUGCCAGAAUUGUGUUGGUCUUCACAUCUUGAGCAUCCACUACUUCGCCUGUUUCCGCUAAAAUGGCCUUUUGUGGUGCCAUCCUCAUCAGCGUUGACAUCCCAGCGGUGGCCUGGAGGUAACUUAGGUUCAAACAAGUUUCAUAAGUUCCUUUGGCAGGCUCAUAUAUUGUUCAGUGAUGACACAGGAAGCAUUUUGUGGUCAGUGUCUCCAAACCUCUCAAGUAGUCCCCAAACUUGCACCAUACUUUCACUGCAAAUCUAUACAUUCACUUGAUUGCAUUGAAUGUGUAGAAAAGUAUUGGUGUGAAUCAGACUCCAGCCAGAUGGUUUUGAUGAACUGUAUCUGACUGGUAGCUUUUCUGUUUGCCCUACCAUCUUCUUUUCAUCCUGCAUCUCAUCCAUAGGUCUAUAUUGGUAAAUGACCCAAUAAAUGAUGUGGGGUUGGGUUUCCUACUAUGUCACUUCUGACCCAGCACCACAAAAUCCUCGAAUUGUGUGCCCACAGUCAUAUUAGGAUGAAAUAUAUAUAUAUAUAUAUAUAUAUAUAUAGAGAGAGAGAGAGAGAGAGAGAGAGAGAGAGAGAGAGAGAGAGAGAGAGAGAGAGAG